rnacentral:rRNA from 1 species
GCUAAUACCGCAUAAUGUCUACGGACCAAAGGGGGCUUCCGCUCUCGCCUUUAUAUUGGCCCAAGUGGGAUUAGCUAGUUGGUGAGGUAAUGGCUCACCAAGGCGACUAUCCCUAGCUGGUUUGAGAGGAUGAUCAGCCACACUGGGACUGAGACACGGCCCACACUCCUACGGGAGGCAGCAGUGGGGAAUAUUGCACAAUGGGCGCA